AUGCCCUUAAGUAUAAGUGUGGGGAUGGUUAACUAUCGUUUAGUGUCUAGUUAGUAGAGUCUUGAGUCAUAAAACUAUCGUUUAGUGUCUAGUUAGUAGAGUCUUAAAAAGUCGAAAAAUACAAAAAAAUUAAAAAAUUUCAAAAAUUCAAAAAAAAAUUGAAAAAAUCAGAAAAUGUCUUUUGAAAUAAGAAGUUUGCAAAAAUAAAAACGGAAAAUGAUAGAAAAGUCGAGUUUUUGUUCGGGUUCAAAUAAUAAUAAUAUGAGAUUAAUAUAAUUGAGCUUGUGUCUAGUUUGGGAUGUGCGGGUAGGCUCGAUUCGGUUCUGGGUUCCUUUGAUCUUAAAAUUACCAAAUUGUUGGUCUACUAAUGGGUUCUCAUCUAGGAAAAGUGGGAAGUUGAAACCGCCAAAAAUAACAUAAGGGGCACCGUUAUAAGUUAGAGCCGUUAGAGUUUGUGGUUUUGAAAAAAAAAUAGAAUAAAAAGUGAGCUAGAAACUAAAUGAAAGUAGCCAUUCCUAUGUAGUCUGGGUUGGGGAUAGUGACUCUACAGCCGGAUUGCCUCUAGGGUGUGUGAAAUCGACCGUGCAAAAAAAAUAAUAAUAAUAAAAAUAAAAAGUAAAAAAUAAUAAAAAGUACCGAAACUAAGUAGUCUGUGGUUGGGGAUAGCGACUCUUCAGCCGGAUUGCCUCUUGUGUCGGGAAAGCACCGUCUAGACUCACGAAACAAAAAAAAAGAGAAAAAGAAAAAAAAUCUGAUUGUGAACUCUCUUGGCUUUGAUAUAAGGCGGUUGGGAAUUGGUCCAGUGAUCGUUCCUUUUGUCCUAUAAGUUUGAGGUGGGAGUAGAUGAGCUUGCAAUUUCUAGUGUGAGACCCUAGGUGGAUUGACCCAUACUUGAACUAAAUUGCAUGAUGAGGGCUUGGAACCGGGUUUGGGUUUAAGAGGAUCAAAAUACUUGCAAUCGCGGCUAACACGAGUUUCGGUAUUAAUAAAGUAACAUAAGCUUUGUCCCGGACGAUUAUCUUGACUAUGAUUCCGUUUGCAUAAUUCUUUUUCGGGGACGAAAAAAGGUUAAGUGUGGGGAUAUUUGAUGUGAGGUCUUGGUGCAAAUGGAGCGAAAACGAGUAAUAUGGAAAUGACCAACCAGUUGGGUAGAAUGGGGUGCCAGUGACCGAAGUAAAAUUGCCGUAUUUUUCUUGGUGCAUAAAGAAAAAAAAAAGGAAUAAUAGUGAGACUUGGAGGGCCGAACUGCAAUUAGAGAUAAGCUAUUUAAAAAUAGCCAACCAAAGAUGGAGGACUAAUCUUGUCAAGUGGUUUAAAGUUGAAAUUAAUUCUCAACUCAUGAGAAAAAAGAAGCAGAUCCAUGAUUCGUUGACUAUGUAUAAUAUUUGGUGACUACCUUUUAGUCUAUGCAAGCCCACUUCAACUUUUUAUGUGAUUCGCUGCCAAGGCCCAGCUUGAAACAAUUUUGGUUGACAUAAAAUUAUAUAAAGCGGCUAUUAUUCGAGAGAGAGGGGGAACGGGACGAACUUGGGACGCACGGAGUCGACAUCAGAGGGGAUUCGAAGACAAGAUCAGACGCACGAAGAACAUCAGUUUUGCAAGAAAUCAAGUUCGGGAAUCAUUGGGGUCAAGUGGAAAGCUCAGAGAUCAAGGAAUUUACGGGUUCUAUGUUACGAUUUCUUUUAUUUUCGAGUUUCUUGUAUUUACUUCAAUGAAUUCUUGUUUGAAAUCUUGUUUGAUCGUUUUUAAGAUUAUGAUUAUCG
rnacentral:lncRNA from 1 species